GUGGGUAAUAUGCUGCGCCAUUCCCAGAAAUCCGAAUCCCGAAAAUUCGGUAACUGUUUUUUUUGCCUCAUGAGAUUCGCAAAGGCUUUUUGUGAAGAUUUCGAGCAGUGUCGUGACAACUUUACCCAGAAAUCGUUCAUUCGAAACCGUAAUUUUACUUCACGAGAAAAAUAUUGCGGCAAAAAUAAAUCGGAACGAAUCGAACGAGCCUCAUCUUCCCCCAGACCAUUUUCCCAGUAUUUCAGUAUCAGCUUCAUCGCAGUGAGCUAAUAAUUCUCAGUUGAUAUGAAUAUGCGCUUUUUCUCUCACCGGAUGGAAAAGCAUGGAAUGCCCGACUCGUGAUCUUAUGACAGGGACAUUCGAGGGGUUUGGCCUCGCAACGUCAGACACCAAAAUGUUCCAUGUACCAGUUGGCACGUGAUAUGAAUAAAGUCCUGAAUAAACUGGCUCGGUUAAA